GGUGAAGACUUAUGAUCAACCCACAGGUCGAUGCUCUAACUGGAUUCCUGUUCGCUCAGGCAGCCUCGGGCUGAGGCUUGAUGAUUCAUGCACUGGCAAGAGACAUCAGUGAGCAAAACACAAAAGGAGUCACAGCAAGGACGCAGCAACUAAAAUUUGGAGCUCAGUGGACAAGGAUUUGGAUAAACAGAUGAUCUGCUCUCCGUGGUACUGAACAGUUCUUCUCACUAGAUUGAUUCCCCUCCUCCCUCACUUCUGAACACUUUAACCCCAUCUCAUAAAUUCUGAACCUAGGAGGGGAAACUGGUAGUGACAGAGAAGUGGAGCAAAUGAGAAGAGAGAAGAAAGUGUCAUACCAUGAAGGCCUUAUAUGGAGAGACGAGGAAGAGAGUUGGGCUGCGAAUUCGUUUCCUAAGCAACAACAGCCAACCUUGCUGAAAAUGCCAAAAGAACAACAAAUUUACAUUCCCUGCCAUGCACACAGCAUCCAUGUUGACAUCAAUAGAUACAAUCUUCUUGAAAGGUUGACAAGAAGUUAGCACUGCAGACUUCAUGAGUGAUGUGUCGAGUCAGCCCAUCCCCACAAACAUUUUAGUGCUCCUUUGCCUUCAUUUAAAAAAUAAAUGAAAACUGAGUUUAAGCUCUCCCAAA